GGCUACAAAAUCUUUAAGAUAAGAAAUUUUUAAUUUUUUUAAGGGGCAUCUCCUGUAGCCA
rnacentral:tRNA from 1 species